rnacentral:rRNA from 1 species
UGCCAGCAGCCGCGGUAAUACGAAGGGUGUUAGCGUUGUUCGGAAUUACUGGGCGUAAAGCGCACGUAGGCGGAUUGGAAAGUUGGGGGUGAAAUCCCGGGGCUCAACCCCGGAACUGCCUCCAAAACUAUCAGUCUAGAGUUCGAGAGAGGUGAGUGGAACUCCGAGUGUAGAGGUGAAAUUCGUAGAUAUUCGGAAGAACACCAGUGGCGAAGGCGGCUUUCUGGACCGAUACUGACGCUGAGACGCGAAAGCGUGGGGAGCAAACAGGAUUAGAUA